UGCUAGCAUGUCCCAGGUGUGCAGAUUGCUGGGGUAGAUCCAGCUGAAAUCCUAUGUAUUGAAUAAAUACAGAAUCGUUUUGAAUCGGAAAAAUAUCGUUUUUGAAUCGAGAAUCGCGUUGAAUCGAAAACAUCGAUAUAUUAUUGAAUCGUGACCCCAAGAAUCGAUAUUCAAUCAAAUCGUGGGACACCCAAAGAUUCGCAGCCCUAAUAUAUAUUGACUUUUUAUUUCUUUGGGAUGCAAAUGGAAGCAAGUCAAUGGAAUGGUUAUGCUAUAACUUGUACAUUUUCACCUAAUUAAUGAUAAUUCUUAUUGCUUCCCAUGUAAAAUAUCCAUAACUCGGACUCCUCUGAUUGAUGAUAAAGAAGUAAUGGCGAUCGUAAAGAAUGUUGACAAUGGUUUGUCCUCACCUGUUUUUCCAGCGACUUACUCAAAGCCUUGCUGAUGAAGCUUCUGAAAAGAUUGUACAGCCAGCUGAGAUAAAAGAGACACAACAGCGUUAAUGGAAAAAGCUCUCACUUUAUCUGAGCAGCAGUGCAGGUUUCAAGAGCACAUCUCGUCUUACUCACAAUAUUCUGCGGUACUUGACCCUCCAGUUUCCCUUCAUGCUGAUGAAGGCGUUCUCAAUAGACAGUCUGACCCCAGUCCCUGGCACCAGAGCCACAGCAGACGAAGGUAGUCCCACAGACACUACUUGCACACUGGAAGAAACAACAUUGCUGUGAACAACCAGUAGUUUAUACAUAAUUACAAACCCUGUUUCCAUAUGAGUUGGGAAAUUGUGUUCGAUGUAAAUAUAAACGGAUUUGCAAAUCCUUUUCAACUCAUAUUCAGUUGAAUGCACUACAAAGACAAAAUACUUGAUGUUCAAACUCAUAAUUUUUUUUUUUUGUUGCAAAUAUUCAUUAACUUAGAAUUUCUUGGCUGCAACAUGUGCCAAAAUAGUUGGGAAAGGACAUGUUCACUACUGUGUUACAUCACCUUUUCUUUUAACAACACUCAAUAAACGUUUGGGAAUUGAGGAAAACUAAUUGUUGAAGCUUUGAACGUGGAAUUCUUUCUCAUUCUUGUUUUAUGUUGAGCUUUAGUCGUUCAACAGUCCGGGGUCUGCGCUGUCGUAUUUUACGCUUCAUAAUGCGCCACACAUUUUCCAUGGGACACAGGUCUGGACUGCAGGCGGGCCAGGAAAGUACCCGCACUCUUUUACUAAGAAACCACACUGUUGUAGCACGUGGCUUGUCAUUAUCUUGCUGAAAUAAGCAGGGGCGUCCAUGAUAAUGUUGCUUGGAUGACAACAUAUGUUGCUCAAAAACCUGUAUAAACCUUUCAGCAUUAAUGGUGCCUUCACAGAUGUGUAAGUUACCCAUGCCUUGGGCACAAAUACACCCCCAUACCAUCACAGAUGCUGGCAUUUGAACUUUGCGCCUAUAAAAAUCCGGAUGGUUAUUUUCCGCUUUGUUCCGGAGGACACCACGUCCACAAUUUCCAAAUAUAAUUUGAAAUGUGGCCACAGAACACUUUUCCACUUUGCAUCCGUCCAUCUUAAAUGAUCUCCGGCCCAGCGAAGCCAGCGGCGUUCCUUGGUGUUGUUGAAAAAUUGGUAUUGCUUUGCAUAGCAGUUUUAACUUAAACUUACAGAUGUUACAACCGACUGUAGUUACUGACAGUGGUUUUAUGAAGUGUUCCUGAGCCCAAGUGGUUAUGUCCUUUACACACUGAUGUCGGUAUUUGAUGCAGUACCGCCUGAGGGCUCAAAGGUCCAUAAUAUCAUUGCUUACAUGCAGUGAUCUGAACCUUUUGAUGAUUUUACGGACCGUAGAUGGUAAAAUCCCUAAAUUCCUUGCAAUAGCCCGUUGAGAAAUGUUGUUCUAAAACUGUUUGACAAUUUGCUUAUAAAUUGGUGACCCUCACCCCAUCCAUGUUUGUGAAUUACUUAGCAUUUCUUGGAAGCUGCUUUUAUACCCAAUCAUGGCACCCACCUGUUCCCAAUUAGCCUGCACACCUGUGGGAUGUUCCAAAUAAGUGUUUGAUGAGCGUUUCUCAACUUUAUCAGUAUUUAUUGCCACCUUUCCCAACUUCUUUGUCACGUGUUCCUGGCAUCAAAUUCUAAAGUUAAUGAUUAUUUGUAAAAAAAAAUUUUUUUAUCAGUUUGAACAUCAAAUAUGUUGUCUUUGUAGCAUAUUCAACUGAAUAUGGCUUGAAAAGGAUUUGCAAAUCAUUGUAUUCUGUUUAUAUUUACAUCUAACACAAUUUCCCAACUCAUAUGGAAACGGGGUUUGUACAUCCAGGCUUUAGCCUUACUUUGACAAGCUGUAUUUGACUUUGCCAAUGACCGACACUCUCUGUGAUCCGGACAUAUCCGGGACUCUAAUGUUUUGGAGCUUGCGCUGGAUCGACGCCAUUCCGAGUUGCCUGCCUUUUUAAGAUGAGAGUAUUAAAUGACGAAGCGUGUCGGUG